rnacentral:lncRNA from 1 species
AUGCUGUGGAAGGCUGGCACGAUAACUGAGCCUGGGAUGGCCAACUGCAUGGUGCUGUCCGACUCCUCUCUGGAGUCUGCACGAUGUCUGGGCUUGGUGAGAGGAGGUGGUGCAGAAUCCUUGAGAAGAAAGCUGCUUGGGUUUGUAGUUAGAAGUCUGACGGUGACGGGGGCGCCUGGCUGGCUCAGUCGGUCGAACACGUGACUCUUGAUCUCGGGGUUGUGAGUUCAAGCCCCAUGUUGGGUAUAGAGGUUAUUCAAAAAAGAACUUUGAUCAAGAUAAACAGCAUUUCCCCCACCCCAAGCAAACCCCUUUUAAGACUUAUGCAGAAAUGUGCAAAUUAUGGUAUAAAACCCAAAGGCUUCAAACAAAGCCAAUUUAAAUAUUAGAUUUUUAAUAGUAUUGAAACCAAAGAACUGUCCACUUAAAGUCCUAGCUGUCCUAGGACUUUUGGGGUUCAGAGGCUUUAACCAUUUCUGCUCUUUAUGCUCGGACCUUCCUUCCGCUCCACACACAGAAGGCACCCUCCCGUCAGCCCAGCCCCGGACUACGUGCAAAGCAAAGCUGUAACCCAGCCUUCUCCAAAAGAUUACAAAUGAAUCAAAAGUAAGAAAAUACUGAUUUGACCAUAAAUAUUUUUAUUAAAUGUGAAAAUACACAGGCAUAAAAAUAUUACCCAUAUUUGCAGACAUAUCUGAGACCCAUUUCAAUUAAUUUUCAGUUUCUUUUUUUAUUAAAACACUAAAUUGAGAUGGAUUACAUUAGUCUUGUCUCAUUCAGAACCAGCAAGAGCCUUACAGUAGGAAUAGUUUAACUUCUCAAACAUCACGUUUUUCCUCCUCCACACUCUGCUUUCCACUGCAGGCAAGAGGGUCACCUCAGACAAGUGCAACACCACCUGCCCCUAUACAUAAAGCCACUCAGUGGCUAACUGUACUCUUCAGUCAUUCAGCAAAUGAGAUCAUCCAGUAAAAAAAAAAAUCCCCACCUAUUAAUAUCAUUUGCAAUUGCAGAAUAGACUCUGCUACUAACAAAAGGAAUGAUCUGAUUUAGAAUAAGGAUCGUAUUCAUUGACAAAUUAGCAGUUGCCUUGCUCCUUCCUUUAUAAAUAUGGGAAAGUCCACUACAUUCACUGAAGUUGCAUGAAUUUCUCUAGGUCACACCACGGACGGUACUCAGGGCUUCGGCAAGGCCCGUGGCCAGCACCCUGUACUUUAAGGCCAGCGGCUCUAACCCAGCCUGACUGAGGAGCUGGUUUUAACGUAAGCAUCUUCUGCAUUUUUUUCAUGGUAAAUGUCAUAACUUCUGACCAAUUUCAUGCUUUUAAAGGUGAAAUCUUCCAUUUUCCACCACGAAUAGGAAAUGCUGCCAAUUUCAAAUUGUGAUUCUAUUAACCUUUUUCCUACUUGGUUAUCAGUAUCUUUCCCUUAAAAAACAACUAUGGGAAGUUUUUACGUUCCAUUAUCAGAGUCCCAAAAAGUUGCUUUCAUACUGAUAUUUAAGAGAAAUUUUUAAUACUGACUAAAGAGAAGGAUGUUUUAAAGUUAGCAUUACAUCCAUCCAAUUCACAGUCAUAAACUAUUGUUUUCGUUUUCAAGUUUUCAUUUAUCCAUGCUAAGAAAGCACAAAGUUUCAAAAAUGGGCAAUAAAUGUAUUCUCUUUCAUGUUUCUAGGCA